ACUCUCGGGGCGCGCGCGCCCAGAGCGCUGGGGUUUGGGAGGUAAUUUGGACCUCCGCCUGCCUCCCUUCCCUCGCUGCCUCCCGGAAUUUGACCAAUCCCGUGAGGAGGAGCCGUGGGCGGGGCGGGCUCGGCUCCCGGAGUGGCGUGAAAAAUUUCCCGAGGCAGAGCGAAAAGUCUUCAUGCGUUACUGAGCAUGUCCGGUGCCCGAAGGGGCGCUUUGGACGCCAGUGAAGCGAGGAGAGGCGGAGAAGGAACCGAGCGGGCAGUUGAGGGAAAUCUCGGAGGAGGUUACCUGCGAUCAAACUGGGGCUGCGUAGUGUUAGGGUCAGGCAGCUUUGAAGUGGAAUCCGGAUCCGCCACUCUCGCUGCGUGAUAUUGGGCAUGCCAUCAAAGCGCUCUCAACCGAACGUCUCGGGUAAAAUGGGAUUAGUGAAGUCUACCAAGGUAGUUGUGAGGAUCAAAAGAGAUAACGCGGAAAACGCCUCACCUGGCACGUUAUAGAUCCUAAAUGCCUAGCUAUUAUUAUGGAGCCCACAACCUCCAUAUUUUACAACUGGGAACACGGGACUCAAAGAGAUUAAAAAACUAAAUGACUCACUCAAGGUCAGGUAGUGGUGGAGACCCAGGCUUCAAGUUCAAUACUCUUUGUCCUACAAAGCCUUCCCUUAAGCAGGGGUAAUAAAACAUUUCAGAAAAACCACCUUAAAGAGCAUCGCUUGUGAUCUGUGGAUCACUUGGUAGUCCCCACCUCCCUCCCAUCCCCGCAAAGGUUUAGAGCUGGACAUAAGGGCCUUGGUGCAACUUUUGGAGGGCAGUUGUUCAGCUUCUGAAUUUGCAUCUGAACGAGCAAUAAGGUGGGGUGCUUUCCUCAAUUCCCUUGGGGCCCCUACAUUUUGGUUAAGGUGUAAACAGCAAGGAGCUCCAGGUCCUCCACGUCUCUAACUAGCUGAAGAAAGAUUAACUCAAUUAACCAGCAUUUACCCAGCAUCCAUCAAGUAGUAAGGUUUUCCCAGCAGGCAAGGAGCCUGUGACCUCAGGGCUGUGCAGGCAGGCACCUUGGGAUUCAGACACACUUAGACUUCCAGCCCAUUCCUCUAAUUUAGCUCUUAAUCACUUACUGCCAGGCAGUAUUUCUUGAAUGUUGUAGUACUAUGUAAUUUUAGCUAUGCUGUUAACUUUUUAAAAAAGGAUGUGUCUGUCUCCCUGUCUUGUAGCCCCAAACGUAUACUUGAUCUUGGUAAAGGAUGUCACCCAGUAUCUUAAAUAAGCCCUGAAGUUUCCCAUGUCCCAGGAAUUAUUCACUUGACCCUCCCAAGUUAAAUGCAGUGUCUUCCAAAAAAUCUUGGUGGUCUACUUCUUUGGAAUACAUUAGUAUCUUUUCUACAGCAUUUGGCAGCUACCUUGCUUUAAACACUGUUCUCUAGUUUUGUGUUCUACUAUUUAUGCAUAUUAUCACCUACAAAAAGUUUCUCUAACAUUCAUGUAUGAGUUGGCUGUUCAUAUGGAUCAAUAUAUCACUUAUUACCCAAUCCUUUAAGGCUUGAUUUAUUUUCCUUUCCCUUCAGAUUGUAAAACUCUUGAAUGGCAGGAACCCUGUCUAGUUCCACAUCGAAUUUCCAGCCUGUUCCUCAGUAACAGCACCACUCAACAACUAGCUAUUGAAUGGCUGAGUGAGCUCCCUGCCUAUCUUAUAAAAUUAUUAGGGGCAUACUUUAUUUUUAUAUUUAUAUCUCAAUACCAGGAAUUUUCUGGGAAGUUAAGAAUUUCCAAUAAAUCUUGGACUACUCUAAAAUGCACCAGAAAUUACGUGGUCACACUCGUGCAGUGAAAGAAGGCUUUGGCAGUAGCAUAAGACAUUAAGCAGAAGUAGGAAAUGCAGUGAGGAAGAAGUUGUAAUGUUUUCAACAGCUGCCACUAUGGAUCUAGGAUGAGAGCUUUCCACAUGUUGUUAAGAAUGAGAGACAGAUUACUCCAAGGUAGUAACUCCGGAACAAUGAAGGAGGAAGAAUGAAUGAGUUGCGCCCUGAAGAUGGUGGGCUCUCCUUUAUGCAUGAUCAUCACGAUCUCUCUGCAAUGUCUGUCCUGUGACCUCGUGAGGUGUGCAGCGUCAUGCCAGACAUCUGUGUUUGGAUGGCCCUCUGGCUCCUCCACAAUUACUGCAGAGUCAGAAGUGGAAUUUCCGCCUGAUGUUUUAUGUCAAAAUCAGUAUGAAAGACUGCAGCAUGCUGAGUGAGCUUUCCGUUCUCGCUGAGAUGCAAUGCAGGGUCCACCCUCUGCAGGCCACAAUUUUGCCUGGAGGCAAAGCAUUCAGUCUUUCCAUUGGCCUGACAAUUUGAGCCAAGCUUUGAGGCCAACAGACAAAAUGCACUAGCAACUGGAGAGGUCCAGAAUCAAGUCCUAAUCAAAGAACGUUUCCAGUCUCGGUGGAAGGUAGUCUGCAACUUCUGCCCAAGGGACUUUCAGAAUUGCCAUGGACAGGGCCUGCCUGGUGGCCCUCCCUGUGAGAAGGUAUUCUUCCUGCUCCAUUGACAUCAGGCUUAUUAGCCAUGUUUCUGGAUUUGGUCCAUUUCAUCAUAAAGAGAACAUGGAGCAGGGCUGCAGCUGAUCUUCAAAGGGCAUGAACACAAGCCAGAGAGAAGCCGUUAUUGUUGUAAGCCCUGAAGAUUUGGGGGAUAUUAUUGCAACACAACUCAGCCCAAGCUGACUAAUACAACAAGUUUCUAUGUAUACAUGGAAAUGUAUGUAAUCUUAGCCUCAAAAAAAAAAAAAAGAAAAAAAGAGUAUCUGAAAAUCCCAGGAUACUCGGGGCUCAUGGUGCGUAGUCAAUGAAAUGAUUAGCUCUCUUUCUUCAUCCUUCCCUCUCCAAUCUUUUCUUUUCAUUCUCCUUCAUCUCAUUCUCCUUCUCUCUGUGAUUUACAAAGCUGGUCAUGGAAAAAAAAACAUAGGAGUCAGAAGGCUUCGAUUCUAGGUUCAUAUGUAUGAGAUUUUUUGGAAAAAACUCAUACUCUCAAGGAGUCUCAGUUUCCUCAUCUUCAAGUGGGGAUAAUAACACCCUCUUUACCUAUUCUGCUGGGUUCUUUUGUAGAUCACAUGAAAGAGAGGUUAUGGAAAUCCUUUAUAUAUGUUUUGAAAAUUCUAUCCAGUUGCUGUGGCCUGAAUGUUUGUGUUCUUCAAAAUUUAUAUGUUGAAACCUAAUCACUGAUGUGAUGGUGUUUGAAGGUAAGGCUGUUAGAAGGUGAUUGGCACAAACCCCUCAUAAGAGAAGCCCCAAAGAGAGCUAGCUUGCCUGUUUCACCAUGUGAGGACAUGGUGAGAAGAAGCCAUGUAAGAAUCAGGAAACAGGUCCUCACCAGGCAUGGAAUAUGUCAGCACCUUGAUCUCGGACUUACCAGCCUCCAAACUAGUGACAAAUAAAUUACUAUUCACUAGCUGCCCAAUUAAUGGUAUUUUAUUAUGAUAGACUGAACUGACUAGGACACUAGUUAUAUGAUGAAAAUACCCUACUACUAUUACUACUGCUAGUACUUCCUGUAUUUGCUCAUAUUUUUGGAGGUCUUAUUAUGUUCCAAGUAUGGUUCUAAGUGCUUUUCAUCAGUAACUCUUGUAAGAGCCUAUUUUUAAUUCAGCAAAGGCAACAAAAUACUUUCCCUGGUUUAGUGAGGAGUAUUAACUAAUUGGGGGUAUAAACAUAACAUGGUUUCGUUUUUUCAAUAGUUGCUACUACUCUUGUUCUCCAUAGCAACUUUGGUUUCAAUUCCAUAACUUUCCUGUUGUUUCUGGUCAAAGGAACAGUUGCCUCUAGUUCCUCUGUCUAUUUUAAUAUUUUGACCCUCUCCAUUCCUGUCAGGACAGGUGGAACUCGUGGCAUAGGAAGUUCAAGUGGCAGAGGGGGCCCAGUCUGUACUUGUCUCUACUCCCCCAGAGGAGGAAAGAAAGCAAGACAGAUGCUCCCUCACGUGGAUGUCCAUGGUAUAGUUGCUGUCCUCCCCUUGGGUGGCCAUGACUGCUAUUCCUGUCCACUGAGCUUCAUGAGGGUUGGGGUGCCUCCCUCACCAGGAUCAGACUCUGGGGUCCCCCAGCAGGAGGUACCGUGUGUAUUCCUCUGUGGGCCUUGUAUGGUCCUCCUUCCCCUUCUGCUGCGUGGGUCCCUAGGGAUGCCAUUGCUCCAAAAAUACUUGCUUUCCCAAGCUCUUCAACUCCAGGGCUCAAAAUCCCCUGGGGAUCCCCUUCCUGUAGGUCUUGAGAAUUGCAACUUGGGGGCAGUCCUGACCUGGUCAUCAUCCUCCUCACCACCUCACUGUGCCAUCUCCUCACCUCAUUCUCUAACCCCCAAAAGAUGACCACUGAUGACCAGUCUCCAGGUCAGUGGAGAACGUGUGUGGAGAAGUGCAGGAGGGGUGACAAAGCAUCCCCAAACCUUACAAGUUAUUUCCUUGAUUUUGGAGAAGAAAUCCACUGGGUAGUGCCCACCACCCCCUCACACAGCUCCAGCUAGAAGUAACGAUUUACUCCCUCCCUACACUCCUCUUAUUUUGUCUUUGAGGGUGGGGGUGCUGGUUUUGCUGAAAUGACUCUGCUCAGUCAGGCUUUUGAGAGUGGGAGGGCAGGGGGCAAAGGCAGAAAGGGAAGCAACCAGGCCUUUCUCUGCCUGUUCUCUGAACUCAGAGCAUGGGGUACUAAGGACCUGGGUUCUCUGCUGUGGGCCCAAAGAGGAAACAACAAGAUCCACUUGGUACCUAAUACCCUGUCACACAGAGGUACAACAUCUCCAGCUUGAGGUGGUGUCCUGUGAGUGAUAGCAGCUCCAGGAUGGUGCAUUUACCACUGAGGAAAAGUAGAAUGAGCCCCAGCGUUGGGGGAGCGAUCUGGGAACUGCCCUCCUAUUUGCUCCCACAAUAUCCUGCAGGUUCUAUGAUACAGGUAGUUAGAGCUACUCACUAGGCUGCCUGUCUUCCCCUCCACUGCAGGACAUGCCUGUAUUUUGUCCUCAUCUGUUGCUGUAGUUUGGAUGUGUUAUUUUUUUUUCCUUUGCAUGAGUUUCCAUGCAGAACACAUGUUGGAAUUUAACUGCCAAUGUAAUGGGUGUUGGGAGGUGGGGCCUUUAUCCAAACUUUAAUUAGGUCAUUAAGAUGAUUAGUGUCCUUCUCUGGAGAGACUGGAUUAGGUCUCUUGGGAAUGAAUUAGUUCUCGUGAAAGCUGGUUGUUAUAAAGUGAGGCUGCCUCUCGUGUUUGGUGUCUUUGUACGCUUCUGCUUCCCCUUCCUUCUGCUUUCCACCGGGAGUCAAAGCAGCACCAAGUCCUCACCAGAUGGGCUGCUGGAUCUUGUACUUCCCAGCCUGCAUGACUGUAAGCUCCAUAAACCUCUUUUUAUUCCUUGUAAAUUACCCGGUCUUAGGUAUUCAACAGAAUUGAAUUGCUUAGGUAGCAACACAAAACAGAUGAAGACAUCUGUAUUCCCAGGACCUGGGACAGCACCUGGUAUAUGCAACCUACUCAGCAAAUGUUCUCUAGAAUCUUUAGAGAUUUGGGAAUAUGAAGGAAAAAAAAACUAGAAAAAUGGGGUGGCAGAUAUAUUCCAGAUAAAAAAUAUUUCAGGUGAAUUCUACAAAUCAGGGUGGGUUUCAGACAACUGUGAAUCAUGAGUAUACUUGUUGGGGGAAAAAUUCACAUAGCAAAGACAGCUACUUCUUGCGGUACCCACUGAGGGACUGGGGCAAGGGCAAUGAGAGGCAUAAGCUGACUACAGAUAGUUAACCCUGACAUUUUCAACUUUAAAACAGUUUCAUUUCCUGUUUGAAAACUUUGAGGGUCUUUUUCUGAACAACUUUUUUUUAUUAUACUUGAAGUUUUAGGGUACAUGUGCACAACGUGCAGGUUAGUUACAUAUGUAUACAUGUGCCACGUUGGUGUGCUGCACCCAUUAACUCGUCAUUUAACAUUAGGUAUAUCUCCUAAUGCUAUCCCUCCCCCCUCCCCCCACCCCACAACAGGCCCUGAUGUGUGAUGUUCCCCUUCCUGUGUCCAAGUGUUCUCAUUGUUCAAUUCCCACCUAUGAGUGAGAACAUGAGGUGUGUGGUUUUUUGUCCUUGCUAUAGUUUGCUGAGAAUGAUGGUUACAAUAGCAAAGACUUGGAACCAAGCCAAAUGUCCAACAAUGAUAGACUAGAUUAAGAAAAUGUGGCACAUAUACACCAUGGAAUACUAUGCAGCCAUAAAAAAUGAUGAGUUCAUGUCCUUUGUAGGGACAUGGAUGAAGCUGGAAAUUUUUUUGUAAUAGAAGGGGCAGACAUCAAUUUUGUAAAAAUUUCAAUCUCUAGGUUUUGUUUUUAGGAACAUUUCUCAGAGGUUUUUCAUCAUGGAUAUUUGAAAAUGCUGAUGUAAAGAGACACAUCUCAAUUUCAAUGCUGUCACAGCCAUAUUGUCCUUCUUUGGAGAGUCUUCGAACUAGAGUAAGCCAUGGAAGCUUGAUAAUAUACAAUGUGGUUGCCUAUGAUGACUCACUGACCUGUCCAGAUUUGUAAUCUGCACAUUUUAAUGUAAAUUGAGUGGUUGAUUUAAAGACAUAAAUUAUUUUAAAAACCAGUAGACUAUAUUACAACAACAACAACAACGACACCCUAGGAUUUCAGCAUUUUCAAACUUCAAAGAAUACUGAAAACUGGCUUAGACUCUUGUUCUGGGGAUGCUCAGCUAUGCAGAGGAGAUGCUGAGAUUUCUGGCAGCCAUCUUGUCUACUACAUAGUUAGACCUUAUAUGGAGAAUGAAGCCAAGGAAAACCAAGAAAGACACAAUCCUGAUAGAUGUCUAGGAGUCCCCAGACCCAAUGUAAAUGGAGCCAAAUUAAGACAAGCAGAGCAGAGAGAUCAGAGGGAGACAUCCCUGAUAAUUCCACUGGAAGUCCAAAUCCAGCCAUGCUUGAAGUUAUCGCAUCCCUGCUUUUCCCAUUUUCCCAGUUUUCUGAGAAAUAAAUUCCCCUUUCCUCUCUUGGUUCUGACUUUAACUAGUUUGAUUUCCGAUUUAAUCACCUGUAACUAAAAACAUUCUCUGUAAUAAACUGCAUCACGAGUUUAUUGGCAGGAUAAAUUGAGUUUAUAUACAUAAAGCAUUUCUUUGAGCAUAGUAAGUGUUCAAUAAAUAGACUUUAAAAAAUAAAAUCUAUUAUAAUCUGAGAGUAGCUCUUGUAACUAACAUAGGUCAGACAGCAAGUAAGAAGUAGCCAAGAUUUCACAGUUUAAAAGUUCAAUACUUAUAAUUUCAGCAAACAGAAAGGAUCUGGGGUGGAGCCAAUAUGAUGUGGUGGAUAGAACUUGGGUCAUAGAGUCAGAUAGACUCGAGUUUGAAGUCCAGCUCUGCCACUUUGCCAUCUGAAUGACAAUGAGAAAAUUGCAAGCAAUUCUGAGGCUUUGUUCCCUCAUCUUAUAAAAUGGGGAUAAUAGUGAUAGUGGCAGGAGGCAGUCAAAUGCCUAGGAAAAUAGGGCAGGUCCCUGGUGAAACUGGACCUUCAAACCAAAGAGAAUUUAAAGCCUGAAAGCCAAGCUACAAGUCUCAGAUAAAUCCACGGACUGGAUUGAGAUCCUCUCUUCCUAUUUGGUGUGCUUUCCUCUGGUUGAUCCCCACCCUUCACCUAUUUUACAUAUACCUACCCUUCCCUAAUUUGUUAUUUGCACUGUCAUGCCCAUCCUUGAGUGGUGCCUUUUUUCAGCCUUUUUUUGCAUACUCACAAACCAAUCAGCAUGCACUCCCACAUUCUGAGCUCAUAAAAACCCCAGACUCAACCACACUUGGAGGACCUCCUGCCUUCAGGUGGGUGAGACUCCCCAACUUUGGGUAGGGGGAGGCCAACUCAGGUUCCCCUCUCCGCUGAGAGCUGUUUCAUCACUCAAUAAAACUCUUCAUCUUGCUCACCCAACAGCUGUUAGCAUAACCUCAUUCUUCCUGGGUGUGGGACAAGAACUCAGGACCCACCAAAUGUUGAAUGUGAACAGAGCUGUAACCCUGUAGCACUCCCCUCCUGCUCACCAAGCAAUGGGAGAGGGAGCUGCUGGGUGCCACAUGCCCCAGUUUGUUGGGACAGGACUGAAAGAACUGUUAACAUGCUGUAAUACCCCCUUAGGGGCUUUGGGGUAGCUGGCAUCCGAGUUUUUCGGUUGCCACCAUGUUCCCUUCGUCCAUAUGCUGGUGCCAAAGGUGGGAGCAGGUCAAGACAUGCCUGGCCCAUCCACAGGCUGGAGUGCAGGCCAAACACAGCUGCUGGGCCAAGUGGUGGAGUACCUCUUGUGGUGAGCCCAGAGCCAAGCAUGGCACUGGGCAGGGGCAUCGCUGGCUGCAGAGGUCACCAACUGGUGAAGCGACACCCAAAAAAUCCUGCAUCAAUAGUACCUCCUUGUAAUAAUUAAAAUAAUCAAGAAUGUAGCAUUAUUCCUGGCAAAUAGACUUUCAGCAAAUGCUGGCUGCCUCCCUCCUCCAGUAUCUGCCACCUCUACAGGCUGGCCCCUUUUACAGGUUAGAAUUUUAUUUGUCAAAGCAAAGCACAAGGUUUACUGCCCCAAAGUAUCUUCCCUUAUGAUGCUUCUGAAGGUGUGGUAAGGCUGUUGAAGAGUUGUAAAGAGGGGUUUAUUGUUUUAUAUCCAAAGUGCUUUCUAAUGAAUAUUUUAUGAUUUUUCUCACUGUUUGAUAAUUUUGUAGGAUUCAAACAAGUGAGGAAACUUGAUUUGUUUUGGAGAAAAAAAGAGAGAGAAUCACUAUGACUAAUAACAGAGCCUAUCUGUUCUGGGUACCAGAGAUCCCCGGUUGGUGACCCCAUCCCUGACUGCAGCAUUAAGUCCUGAGUCAUCUAUCCCAAUCAGCUCGUAGCAGUCUUCUUAAUGUCUCCUAUUGUUUAAGCAUGGUCAUUUGCCUAAAUCGAUACAAUAAGACUAAAUUAAAGGAUAUAUACUUCAGUAAUUUACAUGCUUCAGGUAAAGAUUUCUCACCCUUGCUGACAUGAACAUGGAGCACAAAGCUUUUAAGACCACGGAUUUUUUAGCUGCUGUCUUGGCACUAUGAGGGGACCCAGCCUUAGGAUGAAGCCAGGUGCUGAGGACAGCAGAGCACAGGAAUGGAAAGAACUCACGUCUAUGAUAACAUCUUUGAACUGAUAAUUAUACUGCACCUGGAUGCCUCUUACCUCUGGACUUAAUGUUAUGUGAGGCAAUCGAUUUCCUUAUUCUUAUGAAAACCAGUUUCUGUGAAACUGAUCAGUAUCAAGCAUGAAGCAUGCUUCAUGAAGCAGCAUCAGACAGUAGAAAAUACCAGGGCAGCUGCAGGUCACAGCCCUGAAAUCUGGCCAUGGGGUUCAUAUCCUGCUUCCACUUGUGCUAGCUGUGUGGCCUUGGGGAACAUACUCAACCUCUGGCGGCUUCAGUUUCUGCAUCUGAAAAACAAUGAUAAUAAUAGAGUUCCUCACAGGAUAAAUGUGCGUAACACACAUAAUGUAGUGCCUGGCCCAUGGUAAGUCUCAAUAAAAUCUGACUUGUAAUUAUGGUUCCCUCUAGGUGUGAAGAUCAUCUCAGGAUCCACAGAUUGAUUUGAAAGUGGAUUCCCAGUCCUCUUCCUUUCUGUCAUUGACUCUGUGUCUCUUUAUUACUUUGGGUUUUUCUCACUUUUCCUUUCCUGAUCUUCCUCC
rnacentral:lncRNA from 1 species